GUACUGCUAUUACAAGGCUGAUCAUCGCAGAGAUACAGUUUUGUGUAUUUCAUUGGUCUCAGGCGAUUGUUUCGACUGCUAACACAUCGCUGGAGAAGACUGCAACAAAAAUCCUUGCAGCCAAAAACGUCUGGGCUAUUCCCAAAUC